rnacentral:lncRNA from 10 species
CCUCAGCCUCCCGAGUAGCUGAGAUUACAGGCGCCCGCCACCAUGCCUAGCUAAUUUUUAUAUUUUUAGUAGAGACGGAGUUUUGCCAUGCUGGCCAGGCUGGUCUUGAACUCCUUACCUCAGGUGAUCCAUCUGUCUGGCCUCCCAAAGUGCUGGAUUACAGGCGUGAGCCACCAUGCCUGGCUGAAAAUCCUUACUUUUUAUUCCGACUAAAAAAUUUUACAUCCAGUCCCACAAGGGACUUCAGCUUCACACACCCUUUCUGUCCUCAGUACCCAGCUCCCAGUAUCCUUUCUGACCUCAAAACCAUAGCUACCAUCAACCCUUGUGUCCCAGGACCAUGGCUCCCAGUGUCUUCUCUGUCCUCAGGGUCCAAGCUCCCAUCAACUCCUGUGUCCUCAGGACCACGGCUCCCAGCAUCCUCUCUGUCCUUCAGGUCCAAGCUCCCAUCAACCCCUGUGAAGCAGGACCAUGGCUCCCAGCAUCCUCUCUGUCCUCAGGGUCCAAGCUCCUAUCAACUCCUGUGUCCCCAGGACGAUGGCUCCAGCAAUCCUCUCUGUCCUGAGAGCCCAAGCUUCUAACUGCCCCUGUGUCCCCAGAUCCAUAGCCCUGAGCAACUUCCUUCUUUUUCAGUCCUCAGCUUCCCAGCUUCUGUAGACUUGGGAAGAGAUAGUCUCUAAUCCUCUUUCCAGGGCUCACAUUCUGUGACUUUUGCUAGAUGGGAGAGGAAUGUUUGAUCUGCCUUUGGAAUACUGGUCCAAGGGGUAACUAGUAGUUGCCUUUUCCCGCAGGAGCCAAUAGGCCCGCUCACUCUGUGCUCUGACAGAUGUCUCCUGCUCCAGCUGAAGGGGAACCUUGGGAGAUGUUGGUUUGGUUCUCACCUGUCAUCCUUAAGUCCCACCAUUCCAUGUGAAGACAUCACAAGAGUAGUGGUCCUGACGGGCGCGUUGGCUCACACCUGUAAUCCCAGCACUUUGGGAGGCCAAGGUGGGCCGAUCACUUGAGGUCAGGAGUUUGAGACCAGCCUGACCAACCGGCCAACAUGGUGAAACACCAUCUUUACCAAAAAAAAAAAAAAAAAUUAGCAAGGCGUGGUGGCACGUGCCUGUAAUCCCAGCUGGUCGGAAGGCUGAGGCAUGAGAAUCCCCUGAACUUGGGAGGCAGAG